ACUUAUAAAUAAAAAUAUUUUGGAAUAGUAGUACUAAUGAAAUUUAUCGGAUUUGGCGGCAAGAUAGCCAUUUAGAGGAACCUGCCCUAUAAACGAUGGUCCACGAUUUUACUCUACUUUUAUUUGUAAUUCAGUUUGUAUACCGCUGUUGUCAGUCAAUUUCUUUAGAAAACUUUCAUUCAUGAUAAAAUCAUUGACUUCAAGUAAAGGUGCAGCUUAUAUAAAAGACAGAGGUGGGUUACAUUUAAAGGAUUAAAACGGAUAAAGUUUAUGAAAGUAGCUUUUGAAGGUGGAUUUAAUUGUAAAGUUUUUGUAAACUUGAUGAGAGCUCUAUCUUGUGUACACACC
rnacentral:rRNA from 1 species